UGAGGUCAGUGCGGUGGAGUUGCAGGAGCUGCGCGUGCGGAGGAGCUAUGGAGCUGACCCCGGGAGCCAGGAGCAUGAGGACCUGGAGUCUGUGUCAGAUUUGUACCUCCGGGUCGGAUUCUCGUCCUUGUGAAAUAGUCAAACAGCCUCGCCAUGCACCAGAAGAAUAUAAACCAAAGCAGGGGGAGAUUGAUCUUGGUACUACCUACAAAUGGCAUCUUAAUUCUUGUAAAGUGCAGCGUGUGGCAAUAGCUCGGCCUUUGGAGAGACAAGUUAAAAAAGGGAAGUUGGAUACUGUCCCGACCUAUAAAGCAUGAGUUGAAACUUUACUGAGCAUACUGGAGCCUUUGAGAAAGUCAAAUAAAGAGCAACCCUCUUCUCCAUUGAAGUUCUGAACCAAACGAUAAAGCAAAAGAGUUAGCAGAUUUCAAGGCAUCUGCAUAGUGUACCCUGAGUCAAGUUUUGGUUGGCAGUGUCAAGAUGGCUGCACUGCUCCUCGCUGUGUUCAAGUUAGAAAGAGGCAUUGUGGUGUGACAAGUAAAGGCUCUGUGGCUUGGGAAUCAAAGCACCUGUGUUCAAGUUUCAAUGACACCAGUUUCUACUUGUGCCAUCCUAGGGGUAUGUGUUAGCAGCUCUGAAACUACAUGUAUAAUAAGGUCAAACCAAGAAAAUAUAUUGCAGAUAAUGAAAGCCAGGCUUCUCCCUGUCAGAGAAAGAAGUUGACAAACAAGAAAAAGUUCUCUGAGAGCAAGGACAAGAUGCCAUUCCCCCAGGAUGCCUGGAUCAGUCAGGGUCACAAGCCUGUCCAGAGCGAUUGUCUCCUUUUCACAGACUAAACGUAAGGGUCCAUAAAAAUGCCAUUAGAGCCAACAUCUUAACAACUACUGGCCAGAGCUUCUAAAAUGUAAAUGCCUUAUAAGCCUGUUGCAACCCUACAACUGAGAGAAGU